rfam:Sorghum bicolor cultivar BTx623 chromosome 1, whole genome shotgun sequence.
CCCAUCGAUGAUGAGGAACUUGUCUCGUACAUCUGCGCUGGCCUUGACAUCGACUUCAACCCCGUCGUCACGUCGGUGUUGGCUCGAACUGAGCCAAUCUCCGUCACAGAACUUUCUGCGCAACUCCAGUCCUUCGAGC